AAGUCGUAACAAGGUUUCCGUAGGUGAACCUGCGGAAGGAUCAUUAUCAUCCUUGGAUUGGCCAAAAUUGACUCUUCUCGAGUCUUUUGCGGCUAAAUCUAUCUACCAACCGUGAACUGUUUAUCACCUCCGAUUCAUGAGAGAUCCCGCGCUAGUCGUUGGCCCGAGAGGAGAAAACGAAUGGCGUUUCGGGAAGCAGGGCUCGCUGCCCUGGUAUUAUGAGUUGGUUGUAUCUUUUUGACCUCUUACUAUUAACCUUUUGAACAAAACCCUUUUCAAUCUUUGUAUUGAACUGAAACAUUGUGUUUUCUUCUGUUUCCCUUUUUUCAUUAAAAGGGAGAGGAAAAAACACGACAAGAUAUUACGAAAUAUUAAGAACAACUCUUAGCAACGGAUAUCUUGGCUCUC
rnacentral:misc_RNA from 1 species